rnacentral:rRNA from 1 species
CCUACGGGGGGCAGCAGUGGGGAAUAUUGCACAAUGGGGGAAACCCUGAUGCAGCGACGCCGCGUGAGUGAAGAAGUAUUUCGGUAUGUAAAGCUCUAUCAGCAGGGAAGAAAAUGACGGUACCUGAUGAAUAAGCCCCGGCUAACUACGUGCCAGCAGCCGCGGUAAUACGGAGGGGGCAAGCGUUAUCCGGAUUUACUGGGCGUAAAGGGAGCGUAGACGGGGGAAUAAGUCUGGUGUGAAAUGCUGUGGCUUAACUCCAGAACUGCAUUUGAAACUGUGAAGCUAGAGUGCAGGAGAGGUAGGUGGAAUUCUUGGUGUAGGGGUGAAAUGCGUAGAUAUCAGGAGGAAUACCCGUGGCGAAGGCGACCUGCUGGACUGUAACUGACGUUGAGGCUCGAAAGCGUGGGGAGCAAACAGGAUUAGAUACCCGUGUAGUC